rnacentral:rRNA from 1 species
UGGGGAAUUUUGGACAAUGGGGGAAACCCUGAUCCAGCCAUCCCGCGUGUGCGAUGAAGGCCUUCGGGUUGUAAAGCACUUUUGGCAGGAAAGAAACGUCGUGGGUUAAUACCCCGCGAAACUGACGGUACCUGCAGAAUAAGCACCGGCUAACUACGUGCCAGCAGCCGCGGUAAUACGUAGGGUGCAAGCGUUAAUCGGAAUUACUGGGCGUAAAGCGUGCGCAGGCGGUUCGGAAAGAAAGAUGUGAAAUCCCAGAGCUUAACUUUGGAACUGCAUUUUUUAACUACCGGGCUAGAGUGUGUCAGAGGGAGGUGGAAUUCCGCGUGUAGCAGUGAAAUGCGUAGAUAUGCGGAGGAACACCGAUGGCGAAGGCAGCCUCCUGGGAUAACACUGACGCUCAUGCACGAAAGCGUGGGGAGCAAACAGGAUUAGAUACCCUGGUAGUCCACGCCCUAAACGAUGUCAACUAGCUGUUGGGGUCUUCGGACCUUGGUAGCGCAGCUAACGCGUGAAGUUGACCGCCUGGGGAGUACGGUCG